rnacentral:tRNA from 1 species
UGCGCGGGUUGGCGGCAGAUUCCUAAUCUGUAGGUCAGGUUCGAUUCCUGUCGGGAUCACCA